GGAAUAUUGGACAAUGGGCGAAAGCCUGAUCCAGCCAUGCCGCGUGUGUGAAGAAGGUCUUCGGAUUGUAAAGCACUUUAAGUUGGGAGGAAGGGCAGUAAGCGAAUACCUUGCUGUUUUGACGUUACCGACAGAAUAAGCACCGGCUAACUCUGUGCCAGCAGCCGCGGUAAUACAGAGGGUGCAAGCGUUAAUCGGAAUUACUGGGCGUAAAGCGCGCGUAGGUGGUUUGUUAAGUUGGAUGUGAAAUCCCCGGGCUCAACCUGGGAACUGCAUCCAAAACUGGCAAGCUAGAGUAGGGCAGAGGGUGGUGGAAUUUCCUGUGUAGCGGUGAAAUGCGUAGAUAUAGGAAGGAACACCAGUGGCGAAGGCGACCACCUGGGCUCAUACUGACACUGAGGUGCGAAAGCGUGGGGAGCAAACAGGAUUAGAUACCCUUG
rnacentral:rRNA from 1 species